UGGGGUUUGAUGUGUUCAUUUUAUAGUUUCAAAUGCAUAUAUUACUGUUUUAUUAAUUAUGGGUUGAAUGACUGAAGAACUGAUACUGUAUGUUGUCUGUUCGGCAUGAAUUACGAUUUGUUUGUUUAAAUGUGAAUUGAUGAUGCUUAUUGAGGAAAAGGGAAAUGAAACAUUGUGUAGACUGAUAAUUGUAUGAUGGGGUCAGCCUGACUAGAU
rnacentral:lncRNA from 1 species